AACGUAGGGUGCAAGCGUUGUCCGGAAUUACUGGGUGUAAAGGGAGCGCAGGCGGGAAGGUAAGUUGGAUGUUUAAUCUACGGGCUCAACCCGUAUCAGCAUUCAAAACUAUUUUUCUUGAGUAGUGCAGAGGUAGGCGGAAUUCCCGGUGUAGCGGUGGAAUGCGUAGAUAUCGGGAGGAACACCAGUGGCGAAGGCGGCCUACUGGGCACUAACUGACGCUGAGGCUCGAAAGCAUGGGUAGCAAACAGGAUUAGAUACCCUGGUAGUCCAUGCCGUAAACGAUGAUUACUAGGUGUGGGAGGAUUGACCCCUUCCGUGCCGCAGUUAACACAAUAAGUAAUCCACCUGGGGAGUACGACCGCAAGGUUGAA
rnacentral:rRNA from 1 species